UCAACUCGGCCGGUGAGCGGCUGCCGGCGGAGCGAUGCUGCGGCCGGAGGAACGGCCGGGGCCCCGUGCGAGAUCGGCGACGGCCGAGGAGGUCGGUUCCGCAGCGCGGGGAGGUUAGAAGGUGAUAGAUCAGAGAUUCUGGAUGAGAGCAUUCCACUCACUAAUGACAAGGCGUUUAUUAGAACAGUUGCACACCGUGUUUCCUUCCUAGAAGAGAAAGUGCCCGAAGCAAAGAAGAGUCAUGGUGCCUUUUUAAUACCACUUUCCAACUGUUUCGAUAUGCAGUUAUCCCAUCUUUAAAAACAAUUGCUGUAGCAUUAUGCUGGUAUACAUAACGCUGGGCAGGCAAUAAUACACAGGUAUCACUAAAUAUGUAGGAACAGCUGAACCAAUCCAAAUUUUUGUUUGGUGUCAGAGCAACCUCUGUUAAUUUCAGUUGCUGAAGACUAGUUCAUUUUCUGCAGGUCUGGGACAUACCUUAACUCUGUAAAGAACAUCAUGAAUAUGCAGUCUGGUUAACAGGCAUGGAAAGGACACGGUACGUACUGAUACGCUCUUUGGAUAACUUAGCUGUCAAACUCUGGUGAAUCUUUACAAAGCUUCAUUUAAUAUAUGCACAGUAAAGAGUGUAACUUGGCCAAAAUUGGUAAGAUUUUCAUAGCAAUGGGAAAAGAUGUCCCUGAAACCAGGGCAAUUUGUGCCAAUUUAAAAUUUCUGCUGUAGCUUAUAAAGGCAUUUGAGAUUCUUAAAUGAACUGAACAGCAGAUAGUUUUCUUUAAUUUCGUUCUUUCAAUUUUCCUGUGUUGGCUUCCUAAAACUUUCCAAGCAUGUUAAGCCCACCUCAGUUAUCUAGUGUGGGAAAUGCAUCAAAGCUGUAAGUUUUUCAAGGUUUGUCUGCCUUUUCAAAUAAUGUUGUAUAACUGGGAUACCAGGAAAGAAGUGGAGGAGGCCAGGCUAUUUACUCAGAUGCUGGCUUGAUUUAUGCAGGAAGACAGUAUAAUCUUUUUAAUGCUUAUUUUUGUCCUUACUAAGUGAAUUUUAAAAUAUUGUAUGACUGUAUAUUUGUGCUCACAGGCAUCUUGGAAUGGUAAUAUUAGUGAACAAAACAGAAAAAUAAACAGGGAAUGGUGUAGCUUCAUACUGUACUUCUCUCCUCCCAUCCUUUUCCCAAAGUGUAGUGCAAUGGGAAAAUCCUGUGAGAGAGAUAACUAGGAUGAGCACAAAUGAGAAAAAUGCCCCUGCAGAACUCUGAACAGAUAAGACUUAGCCUGAGGAAGGACAAGGCAGGGUAAAGGUUUGGUUUGUGAAGUCAUUCUGGAUGUGGUGCAGGUGAAUUGAGAAGGAUUAUUCACUCCCUGACAUAAUUCAAGAACUACAGCCUUCCUAAGAAAUUACCAGCAGGCAAGUUCACCAUACAAAAAAAGAGAGGUACUUAACGAGAUGUACUAAAAUGCUAUAGCACUUAUGUUCACAGGGUGUUAUAUUCCCAAAGUGGUAAGACAAAUUCAUAGAUAGUACUCCAACAAUUGAGAUGUUUUGUAUAUGUACAUAUAUAGAUGUAUGUAUAUAUAUACAUAUAUAUAUGCUAAUUCUUCAGUCUGUUGGGAAUAAGUUGGUGUAAUUACCCUUCAAAGCUUUCCUUCGUCAGUCUGUUCAAUUGGUCGUCACUUAAGCAGGAUUGUUUGGCUACAUCGACCUUUGAAUGAAUGAUGCAGCACAGCUGCUUAUUAACAAAUUUUACUCUGUGGCUCUCAGUGUAAAUUCUGCCUCUGGUUGACAGUGCUCUGUGUUGGUAAGGAAUUGUUCACUUCUAGAAGUGUGGAGGAAGAACUGAGUUAUUUAAGGAUGUAAGUGGAGUUAGAAUUUCUGCAGCUACUUUCAUGUAGGUUUGUCUGUUGCCUGAAACAUAAUAAGAUCUCUGCCAACUACUGAAGUUUUCAUACUCUCUCCAGCUCUGUUUCUUUGUAGCUAUCUAUCCUCUUCCCUCUGUUUUGCGGGACACCAUUGCAGGGAUGCCCAUGAAGCAUCUUUUACCAUUUAAAAAUCAGAGCCAUCCUGACCAUUUUUGUAGAUGAAUUUAAUUUGUUCUGAAAUGACAGUAUCCGAUUUGUGCAGCUUCUUCCCAUAGCCGUUUUGGUCAGACUGGGUAUAAGUAUUUGAGAGCAGAUAAUUUUUUUUUCUCUUUUGAUUAAAUGUGUGCUAUUUCAAGUACAAGAGAAAACUCAUUCUCACUGUUUUGCCAUUAUAUUUCAAGAUGCUGCAGGAUGUUGGUUUUUCUAAAUCUUUAAAUGUGUUUGGGUAUUCAAGUUGUUUCAUACAGACUUCCAGUGCAGGGGAGCACUGCGAGAAGUGUCAAAUCUGUGGGAGAAAAGUGAGUAAUUAGAUGCACUCUGUGUUAGGAAUAGCCAGGGGUGGUCUGAAAAGAAAUGACCUUUUACUAAAUAUAAAUUACAAUAUGACUGUGUAAGUGUGACAGGUUGUAAGAACAUAACUCCUCCUGAGGGAACAGAACUGAGGAAAUCACUUUCUCCUGUGAAGUUUGCAGCUGUGUGGAAAAAAAGCCUUUCUCCCGUAAAGCUUGAACUCUGCAUGAGAGAAACUGUGAUAUGGAAUCUUUUGUCCAAAGAUUUUAUCUGUGCCCUGGCUGAAUGGGGUUCAGCAAUCUUAGAGAAAGGACAGGAAAUAUAUUUUAGAAAACUUUAGGAUGUGGAUUUUGGGGGAGUGGGAGAGAGAAAAUCCCUUGUAUCAUUUCCAAUGGAACAAAACUGAAUGUCAGCAACUCUUCCAUUUUUUUUCACACAUCUUUUGAUAGCUGGCAUUUUUGUAAAACCAGAAGUAUUCCUUCUAGCUGGCAUCACUAGCUGAUAAUCCUGGAAGGUGUUCAAAACUGCGUCUGAGAAGCAGAGAGAGAACAGAGGGCUGGUAGGUACUUCUGAAAUUCCUGCUGCAGAAUUUCAGUAGAGAUAAGAGAAUAAAAGAGCAGUUAGGAAAAGCUUGAUUUUUUUCAGAAGGCCACCUACAUUAGUGCUCUCAUCUCUUUUCUGACAUAGAAAUUGCUUUUAAACUAUAAUUGUAUUUCACUGACAAAAGCUUCUGGCUACAUACAUUAAGACCUGCGUAAUAUUGCCUUUCUGUAAGUUGGCUUGAUCUGUGCCAGAAAAUAGAAACCCAGCCUCUGGGUGUAAAAAGCUCCUCCUCCAGACUUCAGUUUCAGUCGCU
rnacentral:lncRNA from 1 species